CCUUUCGUAGCACAGUGGCAGUGCGCCGGGAUGUGGCCCCGGUAACCCCGGUUCGACUCCGGGCGGAGGGA
rnacentral:tRNA from 1 species